GCAUUAAUGGGGUAGUGGUAACCUGGGUCGUUGCCAUUUGCGCUUGCUUCGUGUUUGACGCUCGACCCGCCGGGGGUUCGAUUCCCCCUUAAUGCA